GCAGCAUUUCAGCUACUGAAGCGUGCUGGCAGCGACCUGCUCACCAGACUGCAAAGGGCAGCCCUGCUAAGAAACAUGCAGACAGAUGUUGCAUAUCCAUCCUGCCAGCAGGUUGUCAGAUGGACAAGCAAGUCACUGUCCCCAGGACAUGUACCGGAUGUGUUUCUGGUCUGAAGAGCAGCCUGGCAGCACACAUGAGACCCCCGAGAAGAUCACCCUGCUGGCACCUGAGAUGAAGGAGGACAGUACUAGUGAUGACACUGCAGCUCUCAGCAGCCUCAGACUGACCCCAGAUCAGCACACCGACCGGGCUCCCCAUUCUCAUCCAAUGGCCAUCCCAGCCUCUUCACUUCAG
rnacentral:lncRNA from 1 species